UCCAGACUCCUACGGGAGGCAGCAGUGGGGGAUAUUGCACAAUGGGGGGAACCCUGAUGCAGCGACGCCGCGUGGGUGAAGGAGCGUUUCGGCGCGUAAAGCCCUCUCGGCAGGGAAGAAGGAGGACGGUACCUGACUAAGAAGCCCCGGCUAACUACGUGCCAGCAGCCGCGGUAAUACGUAGGGGGCAAGCGUUAUCCGGAUUUACUGGGUGUAAAGGGGGCGCAGACGGCAGCGCAAGCCAGGAGUGAAAGCCCGGGGCCCAACCCCGGGACUGCUCUUGGAACUGCGCGGCUGGAGUGCAGGAGGGGCAGGCGGAAUUCCUGGUGUAGCGGUGAAAUGCGUAGAUAUCAGGAGGAACACCGGUGGCGAAGGCGGCCUGCUGGACUGCGACUGACGUUGAGGCCCGAAAGCGUGGGGAGCAAACAGGAUUAGAUACCCCAGUAGGU
rnacentral:rRNA from 1 species